UACGCAGGGGGCUAGCGUUGCUCGGAAUUACUGGGCGUAAAGGGAGCGUAGGCGGGUUAUCAAGUUGGAGGUGAAAGCCCAGGGCUCAACCUUGGAAUUGCCUUCAAAACUGAUAGCCUAGAGUAUGAUAGAGGUAUGUGGAACUCCGAGUGUAGAGGUGAAAUUCGUAGAUAUUCGGAAGAACACCAGUGGCGAAGGCGACAUACUGGGUCAUGACUGACGCUGAGGCUCGAAAGCGUGGGGAGCAAACAGG
rnacentral:rRNA from 1 species